UUAUUUGCUGGUCGUGUUAGAAUAAUAGAUAACGUCCACUAAAUAUAGUGAAGAUCCGCCUUAUCUCUUACAUGUUUCGUAGUUGCUUCAUGUAUACACUCAUCGACAGCUGAUUUUGUUCUCACACUAAAGAGAUGGACAUCAAGUGUGUAUUCGUGUUAAUGACUGUAUGCGCUUUUGUAAGAUAUUCUGGUAAGAGGCGUUGUCAAACUUGAGUUACAACAAUAUAAUUUGAAUAGAUGAAAAUCUGAUAGAGCUACAGGUGAAUUUUAGUAAUACUUUUACGUUAAGUCAACCAAGAAUAAUGGCUCCUAUAUUUAAUAUACUGUCCUCUGUCCUGUUUUGUGUCUAGUUCUUUUGUGAUCACAAGGGCGGUAUACUUACACUAACAAUCUAAUUUAUUAUGUAAUGAUAUGUUUAUAUAUCAAUUUUACCAUGUAGAAUCUGGUGUGUUAUGGUUGCUCAAAUAUCAGUGAUGUAGAUGACUGCAAUAAUACCGUAGAGUGUCAACAGGGGCAGUCAUGCUUCUUAGACUCAAGUGUUAUUGGACAAACGACAAAGUUUUCCCUCGGAUGCACAAAUAACCAGAAUUGUGGUGGUUCGCCAAAUACCGCCGCAAGUCUCAUUGGUCGAGAUAUCACUGCACGACAAUCUCAGGGUUGUCAUGAGUGUUGUAGUAUUGAUAACUGUAACAAACAACUAUGCAGACAUCCUGAACCAUCUGCGUGUAUAGACGAUGCAAAGGCUGACUGCGCAUGGCUAAGCACCGUCUUUAAUGUAUGUAGUGACAUUCAUCAUGCAAAGACGACGUGCCCAAAGUUUUGCGGAUUGUGCAACUUGGGUUGUCAGACUGGAGAGAUGUGUAUUGACCUGGAUCAGACCGGUGCUACCAUCGGAAGUAUACCUGGCGUUUCUGUGAUCUCUGGAAUGACGCCGCUUAUGGGUGGAAAGCCAUGCAGCAGACAGACUGUGCUAAAAGUAAGAUAAAUUACAAGGUCGAA